rnacentral:rRNA from 1 species
AGUUGCAGGGUAUAGACCCGAAACCCGGUGAUCUAGCCAUGGGCAGGUUGAAGGUUGGGUAACACUAACUGGAGGACCGAACCGACUAAUGUUGAAAAAUUAGCGGAUGACUUGUGGCUGGGGGUGAAAGGCCAAUCAAACCGGGAGAUAGCUGGUUCUCCCCGAAAGCUAUUUAGGUAGCGCCUCGUGAAUUCAUCUCCGGGGGUAGAGCACUGUUUCGGCAAGGGGGUCAUCCCGACUUACCAACCCGAUGCAAACUGCGAAUACCGGAGAAUGUUAUCACGGGAGACACACGGCGGGUGCUAACGUCCGUCGUGAAGAGGGAAACAACCCAGACCGCCAGCUAAGGUCCCAAAGUCAUGGUUAAGUGGGAAACGAUGUGGGAAGGCCCAGACAGCCAGGAUGUUGGCUUAGAAGCAGCCAUCAUUUAAAGAAAGCGUAAUAGCUCACUGGUCGAGUCGGCCUGCGCGGAAGAUGUAACGGGGCUAAACCAUGCACCGAAGCUGCGGCAGCGACACUAUGUGUUGUUGGGUAGGGGAGCGUUCUGUAAGCCUGUGAAGGUGGCCUGUGAGGGUUGCUGGAGGUAUCAGAAGUGCGAAUGCUGACAUAAGUAACGAUAAA